rnacentral:rRNA from 1 species
UACGAAGGGGGCUAGCGUUGUUCGGAAUUACUGGGCGUAAAGCGCACGUAGGCGGGUUGUUAAGUCAGGGGUGAAAUCCUGGAGCUCAACUCCAGAACUGCCUUUGAUACUGGCAACCUAGAGACUGGAAGAGGUUAGUGGAAUUCCCAGUGUAGAGGUGAAAUUCGUAGAUAUUGGGAAGAACACCAGUGGCGAAGGCGGCUGACUGGUCCGGUUCUGACGCUGAGGCGCGAAAGCGUGGGGAGCAAACAGG